AGCAGUCGCCGCGGUAAUACGUAGGUGGCGAGCGUUGUCCGGAAUUAUUGGCGUAAAGGGAGCGCAGGCGGACAUAUAAGUCCAUCUUAAAAGUGCGGGGCUCAACCCCGUGAGGGGAUGGAAACUGUAUGCCUUGAGUGCAGGAGAGGAAAGCGGAAUUCCCAGUGUAGCGGUGAAAUGCGUAGAUAUUGGGAGGAACACCAGUGGCGAAGGCGGCUUUCUGGACUGUAACUGACGCUGAGGCUCGAAAGCCAGGGGGGCGAACGGGAUUAGAUACCCCCGUAGUCCCUGUCUCUUAUACAC
rnacentral:rRNA from 1 species